rnacentral:rRNA from 1 species
CGACUAAGCCAUGCGAGUCGAGAGGGUUCGGCCCUCGGCGUACUGCUCAGUAACACGUGGAUAACCUGCCCUAGGGAAGGGGAUAAUCCCGGGAAACUGGGGAUAAUACCCUAUAGGUUACAGAUGCUGGAAUGCUCUGUAAUCAAAAGUUCCGGCGCCCUAGGAUGGAUCUGCGGCCGAUUAGGUUGUUGUUGGGGUAAUGGCCCAACAAGCCAGUAAUCGGUACGGGUUGUGGGAGCAAGAGCCCGGAGUUGGAUUCUGAGACACGAAUCCAGGCCCUACGGGGCGCAGCAGGCGCGAAAACUUUACAAUGCGGGCAACCGUGAUAAGGGAACCUCGAGUGCCUGUAAAUGCAGGCUGUUCAGAUGCCUAAAACACAUCUGGAGAAAGGGCCGGGCAAGACCGGUGCCAGCCGCCGCGGUAAUACCGGCGGCUCGAGUGGUGGCCACUUUUAUUUGGCUUAAAGCGUUCGUAGCUGGGUUGUUAAGUCUUUUGGGAAAUCUGGCGGCUUAACCGUCAGGCGUUUAAGGGAUACUGGCAAUCUUGGAACCGGGAGAGGUGAGGGGUACUU